rfam:Anopheles darlingi Cont2812, whole genome shotgun sequence.
GACCAACUAAAGCAUUUACAAUUUCUGACAUCUCUUAUGAAUUGUUCUUUGAUUCAAAUCGCUUUUUCAAUUAACUGAAAAC